rnacentral:tRNA from 1 species
GGGCGUUUAGCUCAGUGGUAGAGCGCCCGCUUUGCAUUACCUUCAUCAGUGUCUGCGGGAGGCCCAGGGUUCAAUCCCCUGAUCGUCCA